rnacentral:rRNA from 1 species
AUUGAACGCUGGCGGCAGGCUUAACACAUGCAAGUCGAACGAGUGGCGGACGGGUGAGUAAUGUUUGGGAAUCUGGCUGAUGGAGGGGGAUAACUACGGGAAACUGUAGCUAAUACCGCGUACCAUAGGAUGAGCCCAAGUGGGAUUAGGUAGUUGGUGGGGUAAAGGCUCACCAAGCCGACGAUCUCUAGCUGGUCUGAGAGGAUGGCCGGGCACACUGGGAAUGGGACACGGGCCAGACGCCUACGGGAGGCAGCAGUGGGGAAUCAUCCGAAAUGGGCGAAAGGUUACGGCGCAACGCCGCGUGAGUGAUGACGGCCUUCGGGUUGUAAAGCUCGUUAAUCGGGGCGACGGUACCGGAAUAGAAAGCCACGGCUAACUACGUGCCAGCAGCCGCGGUAAUUC